UACAGAGGUCCCAAGCGUUGUUCGGAUUCACUGGGCGUAAAGGGUGCGUAGGCGGUCGGGUAAGUCUGAUGUGAAAUCUCCAAGCCUAACUUGGAAACUGCAUUGGAUACUAUCCGGCUAGAGGAAUGGAGGGGAGACUGGAAUACUUGGUGUAGCAGUGAAAUGCGUAGAUAUCAAGUGGAACACCAGUGGCGAAGGCGAGUCUCUGGACAGUAACUGACGCUGAGGAGCGAAAGCGUGGGGAGCGAACAGG
rnacentral:rRNA from 1 species